UCAGUGAAUCAUCGAAUCUUUGAACGCACCUUGCGCUCCAUGGUAUUCCGUGGAGCAUGCCUGUUUGAGUGUCAUGAAUACUUCAACCCUCCUCUUUUCUAGUGAAAGAGAAGGUGCUUGGUUUCUGAGCGUUUUGCUGGCCUCACGGUCGAGCUCGCUCGUAAUGCAUUAGCAUCCGCAAUCGAACUUCGGAUUGACUUGGCGUAAUAGACUAUUCGCUGAGGAAUUCUAAUCUUCGGAUUAGAGCCGGGUUAGGUUAAAGGAAGCUUCUAAUCCUAAUGUCUAUAUUUUAAGAUUAGAUCUCAAAUCAGGUAGGACUACCCGCUGAACUUAAGCAUAUCAAU
rnacentral:rRNA from 1 species